GAUGAACGCUGGCGGCGUGCUUACCACAUGCAAGUCGAACGGUGAAGCAGAGCUUGCUCUGUGGAUCAGUGGCGAACGGGUGAGUAACACGUGAGCAACCUGCCCCUGACUCUGGGAUAAGCGCUGGAAACGGCGUCUAAUACUGGAUAUGAGCUGCGACCGCAUGGUCAGCAGUUGGAAAGAUUUUUCGGUCUGGGAUGGGCUCACGGCCUAUCAGCUUGUUGGUGAGGUAAUGGCUCACCAAGGCGUCGACGGGUAGCCGGCCUGAGAGGGUGACCGGCCACACUGGGACUGAGACACGGCCCAGACUCCUACGGGAGGCAGCAGUGGGGAAUAUUGCACAAUGGGCGAAAGCCUGAUGCAGCAACGCCGCGUGAGGGAUGACGGCCUUCGGGUUGUAAACCUCUUUUAGCAGGGAAGAAGCGAAAGUGACGGUACCUGCAGAAAAAGCGCCGGCUAACUACGU
rnacentral:rRNA from 1 species